AUUGAACGCUGGCGGCAUGCCUUACACAUGCAAGUCGAACGGCAGCACGGGAGCAAUCCUGGUGGCGAGUGGCGAACGGGUGAGUAAAGUAUCGGAACGUGCCCAGUCGUGGGGGAUAACGUAGCGAAAGUUACGCUAAUACCGCAUACGAUCUACGGAUGAAAGCGGGGGAUCGCAAGACCUCGCGCGAUUGGAGCGGCUGAUAUCAGAUUAGGUAGUUGGUGGGGUAAAGGCUCACCAAGCCGACGAUCUGUAGCUGGUCUGAGAGGACGACCAGCCACACUGGGACUGAGACACGGCCCAGACUCCUACGGGAGUCAGCAGUGGGGAAUUUUGGACAAUGGGCGCAAGCCUGAUCCAGCCAUGCCGCGUGCAGGAUGAAGGCCUUCGGGUUGUAAACUGCUUUUGUACGGAACGAAAAGGUUUGGCCUAAUAAGCUGGACCCAUGACGGUACCGUAAGAAUAAGCACCGGCUAACUACGUGCCAGCCGCCGCCGUAAUAC
rnacentral:rRNA from 1 species